UACGUAGGGGGCGAGCGUUGUCCGGAAUUAUUGGGCGUAAAGAGCUCGUAGGCGGCUUAGUAAGUCGGCGGUGAAAUACCGAGGCUCAACCUCGGCACUGCCGUCGAUACUGCUAUGGCUAGAGUUUGGUAGAGGAGAACGGAAUUCCCGGUGUAACGGUGGAAUGCGCAGAUAUCGGGAGGAACACCCGUAGCGAAGGCGGUUCUCUGGGCCAAUACUGACGCUGAGGAGCGAAAGCGUGGGGAGCGAACAGG
rnacentral:rRNA from 1 species